rnacentral:rRNA from 1 species
GACGAACGCUGGCGGCGUGCUUAACACAUGCAAGUCGAACGGAAAGGCCCUGCUUUUGUGGGGUGCUCGAGUGGCGAACGGGUGAGUAACACGUGAGUAACCUGCCCUUGACUUUGGGAUAACUUCAGGAAACUGGGGCUAAUACCGGAUAGGAGCUCCUGCUGCAUGGUGGGGGUUGGAAAGUUUCGGCGGUUGGGGAUGGACUCGCGGCUUAUCAGCUUGUUGGUGGGGUAGUGGCUUACCAAGGCUUUGACGGGUAGCCGGCCUGAGAGGGUGACCGGCCACAUUGGGACUGAGAUACGGCCCAGACUCCUACGGGAGGCAGCAGGGGGGAAUAUUGCACAAUGGGCGGAAGCCUGAGGCAGAAACGCCGCGUGCGGGAUGACGGCCUUCGGGUUGUAAACCGCUUUCGCAUGUGACGAAGCGUGAGUGACGGUAAUGGGUAAAGAAGCACCGGCUAACUACGUG